UGCUGCGUUCUGAGCAGCGUUCUUCUUUAUGAAUUUGAAACUGAUAAGGCUCUGCAACUUGUCUCUGCUGUGAAAGUUUUGAGAGCUCUUCCCUUAAGAUAGCUUGGCUUCAUUGUGUUGACAACAUCUGAUGUGAAAGAAUGUUGGUGGUAAAGUCCUUCGCUUCUUUUAUUAAAUUGACUUUCACUCCAUUUCCAUGAGUAUUUUUUUUGGCCUGCACUUUCCUUGCAGAACUAGUGGUUGUGUUCAUCAGUUUUUGGAUAUAAGAUUUAGUUUUGGUGGAUGUGUUAUUCUUUGUUAUUUCUUGGAAUUCCCUUUUUUAUUAUUGCCUUUGUAAUCUUCAAUCAGGUAUGUUUUUUGUUUUUCUUAUGGCUAAUAAGGAUAGUAACUCUAAAUAUUCCACACAAUACUAGUAUUAAACUAACUACUACCCUGCUCAAUGGACUCGAUUAUAUUGCCUGGUUAAGGGCUGUAUAUUUGGCCUUGGGUGGAAAAUCUAAGUUUGGGCAUGUCACUUGAAAGAUAAAGGCGCCUAAAUCUGAUGAUCCUACAUUUGAAAAUUGGCAAGCCAAUGAUCAAAUGGUUAUGUAUUGGAUUUUGAAUUCCAUGCAACCUGCAAUUGUUGAAAUAUUCACCCACUCAGACACAUCUGAACAAUUAUGGGAAUCUAUUAAGUCUGUAUAUGGUAAUCAAAAUAAUAUAGCUCGCAUAUAUCAAUUAAAGUAAGAAAUAUCUCCGGUUAAACAGAAAAAGUCAGUAACUGAGUUAGUUGUCAGUCUCAAACCAAUGUGGGAUGAGUUGACCACUUAUACUCCUGCCACUAUUGACUUGGCCAUCAUCCAAAAGCGUGUUGAACAAGACCAAGUUUUUCAAUUUCUUGCUGCUUUAAAAUGAGAUGUCUACUAGUAAAGAAACAAGAGGAGGAGGUCGUUUUCGUAGAUAUGGUAGAGGGCGUCAAAAUGGAAGAAGGACCACCUUUAAAUGUGAUCAUUGCAAAGCUCUUGGUCAUACAAAUGACCGAUGUUGGCUUUUACAUCCCCACUUGAGACAUUCAAAGGAUAUAGGAGGUGACAGAGCUGGCUCUCAAGCAUCCACAGCUGAUUCACAAAUUACUCUGAAAAAAUUGCUCAAUUUUUCCAACAAUAUGGUAAGAGUGGCAAUAUCUCCACACAUGACCCUCCUCAGAAAACAGGUAAUUCCUCACCUUACUCUUUUCAUUCUUAUUCAAAUAUUCAUUCUUGGGUUAUUGAUUCAGUAGCUACUGAUCAUAUGACUGGUAAUCUUAAGUGCUUAACCAGUUAGGAGAAAUCUUCUAGUAUGCCUCCCAUAUCAAUAGCCAAUUAUUCAAUUAUUUAUGUUCACGGUUUCAGAAAAUAUAAAAUUAUCUCUAACUCUCAUGAUUCUGAAGUACUGUUUUUACCAUCGGUUCCUUCAAAAUUGUUAUCCACGAGCAAGAUAACCAAAGAUCUAAACUGUAAUGUUCUUUUCUCUUUUUACAAUGUUAUCUUUCAAGAUCGGGCCACGGGGAGGAGAUUGGUGAAUGGAGAAUUUCGAAUGGAUUAUAUAUUCUCAUUCAAAAAAAUAAAGCCUUGGUGGCUAACUAUUUCAGUAGCAAGUUGUGGCAUGUUAGAGUUAGUCACCCUUCUUAUCAUACUUUACAAUUUUUGAUUCCUAAUCUUAGAAUCGAUUUUCAUGAGUGUGAUACUUGUCAAUUUUCUAAAAAAACCAACUUCCUUUUCAGAAGUCUAUGCAUGAUUGUGAUGGGCCCUUUCAGUUAGUUCACUCAGAUGUUUGAGAACCUACCCCUAUUGAUCGUUAUUCUGAGUAUAGAUACUUUAUUUUAUUUAUUGAUGAUUGGUCAUGUGCAACUUGGAUAUAUCUUUUAAAAUCAAAAGAUGAGGUCUUUCAGACCUUUAAGGAAUUUAAUGCUCUUGUGUCCAAUCAGUAUAAUGUCAAGAAUAAAAUUUUUCGACAUGAUAAUGGUCUUGAGUAUGUUAAUAAAAUUUUUUUUGAGUACCUUACUAGUCUUGGCAUUAUACAUCAGACCUCAUGUGUCCGGACCCCCCCAUCAGAAUGGGGUUGCUCAAAGGAAAAAUAGGCACAUUCUCGAGGUUGCUAGGUCUUUAAUGUUUGAAAAAAAUGUUCCAAAGAGAUUUUGGUCUAAAGCCAUCUUCAUUGAAUGUUACCUUAUUAAUAGACUUCCUAGUAAGGUUCUCCAUGAUAAACCCCCUCUUGAAGUUUUAAAUAAAAGGAAGAUUAACAUCUCUUACCUGCAUGUUUUGGGUGUAUUUGUUUUUCUCAUAUUCUUGAUCAUAAGUGUGACAAACUUGAUUCCCGAGCUAAUAAGUGUAUUUUUGUUGGAUAUUCCUCCACAACAAAAGGGUAAAAAUGUUAUAGUCCAAUACAAAAAAAAUAGUUUAUUUCCAUAAAUGUUCAAUUUUUUGAGGAUGAUAUUUUCACUCUGAAUUAUUUAAAAAUAGGGCUCAUGGGGAGUAUCAUCUUCCAGUUCUUGUUAGUCAAAAUAACAGUUCUUAUAAAAGAAAUAUGGAGAAUUAGAAUAUUGGCAAUGACAAUGAGAAUGAAGCUGGCAAUGACAAUGACACUUAGAGAGAAUGAUCAAAGGUCUAUUACUGGGUUUUGUACAAUGGUGGGUGGAGACCUUGUCACUUGGUAAAGUAAAAAGCAAAGUGUGGUAGCUAGAUCAAGCGCAGAAGCUGAAUAUAGAGCCAUGGAUGCAAUUGCAAGUGAACUUGUUAAAGUUUCUCCUCCAGGACCUCGGAUUUCAAGUGAAACUGCACAUGAAAAUGUUUUAUGACAAUCGUCUGCCAUUCAUAUUGCUUCAAAUCCUGUAUUUCAUGAAAGGACUAAACACAUUGAGGUUGACUGUCAUUUUGUCCGUGAUAAGGUUAAAGCUGGAAUUAUUAACACUCCAUUUGUUCAAAGUGAAGACCAGCUAGCAGAUAUUUUUACCAAGGCAAUUUCAAGGACUAAUUUUUUACAUGCUUUGAGCAAGUUGGGCUCAAUUGAUAUUUACGCACCAAUUUGAGGGGGAGUGUUGAAGGAUUCACUGUCAACCCUGCAGUUUACUAAUUUAUUGGGGUUGUUUUAUUUGUUGCUAUUCUUUUGGUUCGUUUUUUUGUUUUGUGUAUAAAUACAUUGUAAAAUCUGCUAAAAACAUAUAACCAAAAGUAGUAGAGAGUUAA